CAUAUGUGAACCUUCUACUGAACCCUGAACGUUACACUGGCUAUGCUGGUCUGUCCAUCAGCAAGAAGGAUAUGGGAUGCUGUUUAUUCUGAAAAUUGCCCAAAAUGAUCUAUGCUUUCAUAAAGUAAUUAAUCAGAGGAUUUCAAUAUCAAUUUGCCUGAACUUUCAUAUCAAUAGAAAACGGACACAUAUCUUGAGGAAGAUGGAGGAAGAUCCCUGCAAAGCUUUUCUUGAAGUAGAGGAAGAAAAGUACCUUGUAUUAUCUUGUAAACUCUUGUAUAAGAGCUUCAUUUCUUUUGUAACAUUCAUGAGAAAAAUCAAAAUGUAACAUUCCCUUUUCAAUAUAUGUUUAAUUCCUUUUUGUA